AGAACCUUACCAGGUCUUGACAUCUUUUGAUCACCUGAGAGAUCAGGUUUCCCCUUCGGGGGCAAAAUGACAGGUGGUGCAUGGUUGUCGUCAGCUCGUGUCGUGAGAUGUUGGGUUAAGUCCCGCAACGAGCGCAACCCUUAUGACUAGUUGCCAGCAUUCAGUUGGGCACUCUAGUAAGACUGCCGGUGACAAACCGGAGGAAGGUGGGGAUGACGUCAAAUCAUCAUGCCCCUUAUGACCUGGGCUACACACGUGCUACAAUGGAUGGUACAACGAGUUGCGAGACCGCGAGGUCAAGCUAAUCUCUUAAAGCCAUUCUCAGUUCGGACUGUAGGCUGCAACUCGCCUACACGAAGUCGGAAUCGCUAGUAAUCGCGGAUCAGCACGCCGCGGUGAAUACGUUCCCGGGUCUUGUACACACCGCCU
rnacentral:rRNA from 1 species